rnacentral:rRNA from 1 species
AUUGAACGCUAGCGGGAUGCUUUACACAUGCAAGUCGAACGGCAGCGCGGACUUCGGUCUGGCGGCGAGUGGCGAACGGGUGAGUAAUGUAUCGGGACGUGCCCAGUAGCGGGGGAUAACUACGCGAAAGCGUAGCUAAUACCGCAUACGCCCUACGGGGGAAAGCAGGGGAUCGUAAGACCUUGCACUAUUGGAGCGGCCGAUAUCGGAUUAGCUAGUUGGUGAGGUAACGGCUCACCAAGGCGACGAUCCGUAGCUGGUUUGAGAGGACGACCAGCCACACUGGGACUGAGACACGGCCCAGACUCCUACGGGAGGCAGCAGUGGGGAAUUUUGGACAAUGGGGGCAACCCUGAUCCAGCCAUCCCGCGUGUGCGAUGAAGGCCUUCGGGUUGUAAAGCACUUUUGGCAGGAAAGAAACGUCGCGGGCUAAUACCCCGUGGAACUGACGGUACCUGCAGAAUAAGCACCGGCUAACUACGU